GAGCAUUGGAUGAUGAUGGAAACAUGACCCGGCUGGGUGAGAUAAUGAGUGAAUUUCCUCUCGACCCUCAGAUGGGGAAAAUGCUUGUUGUCAGCCCCGAAUUCAACUGCUCCAACGAAAUCCUCUCAAUAUCUGCCAUGUUAUCAGGUACGAUUUCCUGCCAAUUUACUUCCAUUUUGUUGGUUGUCGUGUCUUGUCUUGUCUUUGUUCUAUGUCGAGAGUUUGUCAGGCUUGGGAAUGCUAGUCCGCUUCACCAUGCCUUCUUGUUCACGUGCAUAGACAUUUGUCUAUGCAUAUGAUAUCACGUGCUAAGCUGCACAACAUGUGCAUAUGUGUGGGGUUAGUUGCACGUGUCUUCUUAGGAUGUCAUCAGCAACUGUCUUGUCUGGGUUCUAUGCCCCCGGUUGGCAUGUGCCGUAGAUUUCUAAGUAAGUGCUGAUGGAGAUAGUUGCAGUUUCUCAGUAUUCUCUCAUGAAGCAAAUGGUGUCGUCUCGCCUGUAUGCAUCUGCUGACCUACAGUGGGCCUCCGCUGUGAUAACCAAUUUUUUCUCUAGUACCCAAUUGCUUUGUCCGGCCUAGGGAGGCUCAAAAAGCUGCGGAUGAAGCAAAGAAUCGGUUCGGUCACAUAGAUGGGGAUCAUUUGACGUUGCUGAAUGUGUAUCAUGCCUACAAGCAAAACCAGGAGGAUCCUCAAUGGUGUUAUGAGAAUUUCAUCAAUCAGAGGGCUCUCAAAUCAGCUGACAAUGUGAGGCAACAGCUUUCUCGCAUAAUGGCCAGGUUCAACCUCAAGUUAUGCAGCACAGACUUCAACAGUCGCGAGUACUAUGUGAACAUAAGGAAGGCUAUGUUAGCCGGAUAUUUCAUGCAGGUUGCACACCUAGAGCGUACUGGGCAUUAUCUAACCGUUAAAGACAAUCAAGUGGUACACUUGCAUCCUUCAAAUUGCCUGGAUCACAAGCCAGAAUGGGUUAUAUAUAAUGAAUAUGUCUUAACAAGCAGGAAUUUCAUCCGCACUGUGACUGAUAUCCGUGGUGAAUGGUAAAUUUCGUUAUUUUUACCUUUCUAUAUGCCUUGUUAAUUAUUACUCUUUUUUCUUUAGUACGACUGAGAGGAUCUAUCUUCUCACCUGUAAAGGAAAAGGGCACUUUUUCCUGUUCCAAAUUGUGCUGCUACUUACUACCUAAGCAAAAUCAGCAUUUAUACCCUUAACCCUUUAUUGAGUCCCAAUUUUCAAGAUUCCUGCAGAGGUUCAUUCAUCGGAUCUGUUCUCUAAGUAGUCCUGGUAUAAUCAGUAAGGAGUAAUGUUAAUUGGCUGAAACCAGGACUCUUUAUCUUGAACUUCUUUCAAAUAGACCUCCUGUUCAAGGGGACAAAUGUAUCUUUCUAAAAACUAAAUUCGAUAAUAGCGUGCGUACAAAUGGCUAAUGUUUCCUUGCUAUUAUCUUCUUUCUUCUUUUUUGUAAUUUUUCUCAGGUUGGUUGAUAUUGCACCACACUACUAUGACCUUGCAAACUUUCCACAAUGCGAGGCGAAACGAGUGCUUGAGCGGUUAUACAAGAAGCGGGAGCGAGAAAAAGAUGAAAGCAAGAGCAAAAAAUGAAUCCAUUCGUCAUACUUUUAGUUCCUCCAAGCACGAACACUCCAUGGGAACUCUGGGGUCAGAAUUUGGCCGAUAGGUUAAAGAUUGAUGUACCAUCUAUUAUGUACUGUAAUAGUUUCUAUGAAUCCCAUCUGAACUAUUUAAUACCCUGUUUCUUGUUGCUGGAGUGAUCUAUUUUUUAUCUGUUCCUCGCGUUCAAUGUUGUGAAUUAUCGAACCAUCAUUGUAAGUUUUUUCAUGUGCUGAAGAAAAU
rnacentral:misc_RNA from 1 species